rnacentral:piRNA from 1 species
UUCGUCAAUGGGUAACAACUC